GACGGACGCUGGCGGCGUGCUUAACACAUGCAAGUCGAACGAUGAACCCGGAGCUUGCUCUGGGGGAUUAGUGGCGAACGGGUGAGUAACACGUGAGUAACCUGCCCUGGACUCUGGGAUAAGCGUUGGAAACGACGUCUAAUACCGGAUAGGACCUUGGAUCGCAUGAUCUGGGGUGGAAAGUUUUUUCGGUCUGGGAUGGACUCGCGGCCUAUCAGCUUGUUGGUGAGGUAAUGGCUCACCAAGGCGUCGACGGGUAGCCGGCCUGAGAGGGUGACCGGCCACACUGGGACUGAGACACGGCCCAGACUCCUACGGGAGGCAGCAGUGGGGAAUAUUGCACAAUGGGCGAAAGCCUGAUGCAGCAACGCCGCGUGCGGGAUGACGGCCUUCGGGUUGUAAACCGCUUUUAGUAGGGAAGAAGGGCUUCGGCUUGACGGUACCUGCAGAAAAAGGACCGGCUAACUACGUG
rnacentral:rRNA from 1 species